GCCUGCACGAAGUCGGAAUUGCUAGUAAUCGUAGGUCAGCAUACUACGGUGAAUACGUUCCCGGGCCUUGUACACACCGCCCGUCAAACCAUGAGAGUUGGCAACACCCGAAGUCGGUAGUCUAACCGCAAGGAGGACGCCGCCGAAGGUGGGGUUGAUGAUUAGGGUUAAGUCGUAACAAGGUAGC
rnacentral:rRNA from 1 species